AGCGAACGCUGGCGGCAGGCCUAACACAUGCAGGUCGAACGAACCUUUCGUGGGUAGUUGCGGACGGGGGAGUAACACGGGGGAAGGUGCCGGUAUAUUCGGGAUAACUCAGGGAAACUUGUGCUAAUACAGGAUGUGCCCUUCUGGGGCAAGAUUAGUCGCAUUUAGAACGGCCGGUGUCUGUUUAACUAGUUGGGUGUGGUAAUGGCGACUCAGGGCGAGGAACAGUAGCUGGUCUGAGAGGAUGAGCAGACACAUUGGGACUGAGACACGGUCCAAAAUCUUACGGGAGGCAGGAGUGGGGAAUCCUGCGAAAUGGGCGAAAGCAUGACGCAGCCAGGCCGCGUGAAUGAUGAAGGUCUUAGGAUUGUAAAACUCUUUCAUCGGCGACGAUACUGACGGUACCCGGAGAAGAAGCCCCGGCUAACUUCGUG
rnacentral:rRNA from 1 species